GCUUGCACAGGUGCUGCAUGGCUGUCGUCAGCUCGUGUCGUGAGAUGUUCGGUUAAGUCCGCUAACGAGCGCAACCCUCGCUGUGUGUUAUAUGUGUCGACACGGGACUGCCGGUCUUAAGCCGGAGGAAGUGGGAUGAUGGUCAAGUCAGCAUGGCCUUUAUAUCCUGGGCUACACACACGCUACAAUGGCCAAACACAAUAGGUUGCUAAGCCGCGAGGUGGCGCCAAUCCAUAAAGUUGGUCUCAGUUCAGAUUGUAGGCUGCAACCCGCCUGCAUGAAGAUGGAGUUGCUAGUAACCGCAGGUCAGCUAUACUGCGGUGAAUACGUUCCCGGGGCUU
rnacentral:rRNA from 1 species